UUCCUGUCUAUCUUGUUCCUUUGCAGCUGCUGUUGCUUCGCCUUCAUUUUUUUGGCUAGCUUCAAAUGCAAGGCCGCCACCUGCUGGACUGGAUGAACCGCUUCUUCCAAACACUGCAGUCGACUUAAAUGAGGUAUGCUGAACAAUGUGAAAUGACCGUUGUUGACCAAUGCUGGAAUUGCACGCCGUGAAAACACAUUGUGGAAAAAAAGGAAAAUUUAUUCCCACCGACCACAACAACGAAAACAACACUAGCAAGUCUUUCCUGUCAUUUGGACUUGUGGAGUG